rnacentral:tRNA from 1 species
GAGGCGAGAUGCAAUAGACCCGGCUAAGCAUGUAGGCCUGACUGCAGAGGAUUCGCGGACGGGGGUUCGAUUCCCCCCGCCUCCACCA